rnacentral:tRNA from 1 species
GGGGCUGUGGCUCAGCGGUAGAGCGCUUGCCUAGCAUGUGUGAGGCACUGGGUUCAAUCCUCAGCACCA